GCUAGCGGCAGGCCUAAUACAUGCAAGUCGAGGGGUAACAGGAAGUGCUUGCACUUCGCUGACGACCGGCGCACGGGUGAGUAUCGCGUAUACAAUCUGCCUCAUACUAGGGAAUAGCCCGAAGAAAUUUGGAUUAAUGCCCUAUAGUAUCUUUUUAAGGCAUCUUAUUAAGAUUAAAGGUUACGGUAUGAGAUGAGUAUGCGUUCUAUUAGCUAGUAGGUGUGGUAACGGCACACCUAGGCUACGAUAGAUAGGGGCCCUGAGAGGGGGAUCCCCCACACUGGUACUGAGACACGGACCAGACUCCUACGGGAGGCAGCAGUAAGGAAUAUUGGACAAUGGGCGAAAGCCUGAUCCAGCCAUGCCGCGUGCAGGAUGACUGCCCUAUGGGUUGUAAACUGCUUUUAUAUAGGAAGAAAAAUUUUCUCGUGAGAAAACUUGACGGUACUAUAAGAAUAAGGAUCGGCUAACUCCGUGCCAGCAGCCGCGGUAAUACGGAGGAUCCAAGCGUUAUCCGGAAUCAUUGGGUUUAAAGGGUCCGUAGGUGGACAAAUAAGUCAGAGGUGAAAUCCUGCAGCUCAACUGUAGAACUGCCUUUGAUACUGUUUGUCUUGAGUUAUUAUGAAGUGGUUAGAAUGUGUAGUGUAGCGGUGAAAUGCAUAGAUAUUACACAGAAUACCAAUUGCGAAGGCAGAUCACUAAUAAUUAACUGACACUGAGGGACGAAAGCGUGGGUAGCGAACAGGAUUAGAUACCCUGGUAGUCCACGCCGUAAACGAUGGUCACUAGCUGUUUGGACUUCGGUCUGAGUGGCUAAGCGAAAGUGAUAAGUGACCCACCUGGGGAGUACG
rnacentral:rRNA from 1 species